CAGUCGCCACGGGAAUACAGAGGGUGCGAGCGUUAAUCGGAUUUACUGGGCGUAAAGCGUGCGUAGGCGGCUUUUUAAGUCGGAUGUGAAAUCCCUGAGCUUAACUUAGGAAUUGCAUUCGAUACUGGGAAGCUAGAGUAUGGGAGAGGAUGGUAGAAUUCCAGGUGUAGCGGUGAAAUGCGUAGAGAUCUGGAGGAAUACCGAUGGCGAAGGCAGCCAUCUGGCCUAAUACUGACGCUGAGGUACGAAAGCAUGGGGAGCAAACAGGAUUAGAUACCCGGGUAGUCCCUGUCUCUUAUAA
rnacentral:rRNA from 1 species